AGUAACGCGUGGAUAACCUGCCUCACACAGGGGAGUAACAGUUAGAAAUGACUGCUAAUACCGCAUAAGCGCACGGUACCGCAUGGUACAGUGUGAAAAACUCCGGUGGUGUGAGAUGGAUCCGCGUCUGAUUAGGUAGUUGGUGAGGUAACGGCCCACCAAGCCGACGAUCAGUAGCCGACCUGAGAGGGUGACCGGCCACAUUGGGACUGAGACACGGCCCAA
rnacentral:rRNA from 1 species